UACGUAGGGACCAAGCGUUGUUCGGAUUUACUGGGCGUAAAGGGCGCGUAGGCGGCAAUUCAAGUCAUCUGUGAAAUCUCCGGGCUUAACUCGGAACGGUCAGAUGAUACUGCUUUGCUAGAGUGCGGGAGGGGCAAUCGGAAUUCUCGGUGUAGCGGUGAAAUGCGUAGAUAUCGAGAGGAACACCUGAGGUGAAGACGGGUUGCUGGGCCGACACUGACGCUGAGUGCGCGAAAGCCAGGGGAGCAAACGGG
rnacentral:rRNA from 1 species